rnacentral:hammerhead_ribozyme from 1 species
AUUGAGGAGUCCCAUAAUAGGACGAAACGGCCGUCCAAU